rnacentral:misc_RNA from 1 species
GGGAUUAUUGGCAUAUGAUUUCACGUGUUCUAACCCACCACAUCAUCCAUCAGAAAGGUAGCAAUGUUAUAUGAUUUCAGGUCCAACUUCUUAAAGUAUGAAAUAUUUGUAUGCAUGUUUAUGCCUUAUGGUAAAUACGAAGAGAGAACAAUGAUUCUGCAUUCUGCUAUUGAAAGUAAAUGAAAGCCUUUAUUGCAGAAUGCGGAUUCUUCUUUCACUAGAUCAAACUGUACAAAUUAAGAACUUGUGUUGAAUUAGGUGCAUGGAUAGCAUGUUCUUUU